rnacentral:rRNA from 1 species
AGGGAAACUUACGCUAAUACCGCAUACGACCUACGGGUGAAAGCAGGGGAUCUUCGGACCUUGCGCGAUUGAAUGAGCCGAUGUCGGAUUAGCUAGUUGGCGGGGUAAAGGCCCACCAAGGCGACGAUCCGUAGCUGGUCUGAGAGGAUGAUCAGCCACACUGGAACUGAGACACGGUCCAGACUCCUACGGGAGGCAGCAGUGGGGAAUAUUGGACAAUGGGCGCAAGCCUGAUCCAGCCAUACCGCGUGGGUGAAGAAGGCCUUCGGGUUGUAAAGCCCUUUUGUUGGGAAAGAAAUCCAGCCGGCUAAUACCUGGUUGGGAUGACGGUACCCAAAGAAUAAGCACCGGCUAACUUCGUGCCAGCAGCCGCGGUAAUACGAAGGGUGCAAGCGUUACUCGGAAUUACUGGGCGUAAAGCGUGCGUAGGUGGUCGUUUAAGUCUGUUGUGAAAGCCCUGGGCUCAACCUGGGAACUGCAGUGGAAACUGGACGACUAGAGUGUGGUAGAGGGUAGCGGAAUUCCUGGUGUAGCAGUGAAAUGCGUAGAGAUCAGGAGGAACAUCCAUGGCGAA